GGCUACUCCGGAGGAGGCUGAGGCUGUAACAUCGGUCUUUUGGGACAUCGAUUUGUUUCGGGUUCCCUCUGGCUUUGAUGCUCUUCUGGUCCGUUCGUGCAUCAAUCGGUUGUUGGAAUCUCAUGGCUACUCUGCUCCUCCCACCAUCUACGCCGUUGGCUUAUUAACAAACGUCCAUGAUGACAUCCUUCAAGCUCUCUCUUCCACUCGAAUCACUCUUUAUUAUGCCCCACACGGUUCCACAGACAUCAAGUCGCUUAUGUCUCGGUGAAUUUCUACGAAUCCACCCCCGGCUAAUAUUUUGGGCAUAUGCGAUCCGAGAGGCUUCCCUCUACCUUUGAGUGGAUACAACAUUUUCCGGCCGUUUUCCUAUUCUUCUCUUAAACAAGACUCCGUCCUCUGGGGAAGCUCUCUUCUGGCAGCAGAUUCAGGGUCUCUAGAAGAGGAUACGUGCAGUGAAACGGGUGAAUCUGCCAGCUGGUGUUGCUUAAUAUGCAAUCAUAUUGGUGGCCAAGGCUUUGAAAGUUUCACCAGACAUCUCUCUAGUCCAAACCAUUCACAAAACCUUUCACAUGAGGGAAGCUCUUCUAAGAAACGGAGGACGUGAACAAGAACUCAAGAGGAAGAAGAAGAGCCACACUCAAGGCUCUUAGGGAACAACCAUCGCAACUAAUGGAACAACAGAGGCAUGCAUGAACUAUCAUGGGAAGCCUCCGAUCUGAACCGGUUUAUCAAGAGCUGAUUCGAACUUAUCAAAGAAAAGUGUGUUUGUGUAGUCUUCGAUUAGUGUUGGGAAAAACUUGGAGGAUAUGUCUGCGUAUAUUCAUUUCUUGGCGUCGGGAUUUGAAACUUCGAGAAGAGCGUUUGGUGCAAUUCCUGGAAGCUUGCAGCCUGAUGAAGAGUUGUGCAGAGAUCUUGGCUUCUCUCUUAUGACUCCUUCCCCAAAUAGUCUUAAGGAAGAUUAACCAUUGACUCUUGUGAACAUGUAAAUUAUGAUGUGUUUUGUUUUUCUUUUUUCCUGCCUGCGGAUCCCAGGUUCAACUUAUAUUAUUUUAAAGGAUUUGGUAAGAAUUUAACAUGAUUGUGUUU